GAUGAAAUGGCUGAAGUGGUUAAAGCACCAGUUUGCUAAAUUGGGAGAAUUAAAUUCUGUAAGGGUUCAAGUCCCUUUUUCAUCG
rnacentral:tRNA from 1 species